GUGGGGAAUCUUGCGCAAUGGGCGAAAGCCUGACGCAGCCAUGCCGCGUGGAUGAUGAAGGUCUUAGGAUUGUAAAAUCCUUUCACCGGUGAAGAUAAUGACUGUAGCCGGAGAAGAAGCCCCGGCUAACUUCGUGCCAGCAGCCGCGGUAAUACGAAGGGGGCUAGCGUUGCUCGGAUUUACUGGGCGUAAAGGGCGCGUAGGCGGACAUUUAAGUCAGGGGUGAAAUCCCGGGGCUCAACCUCGGAACUGCCUUUGAUACUGGGUGUCUUUAGUAUGAGAGAGGUGUGUGGAACUCCGAGUGUAGAGGUGAAAUUCGUAGAUAUUCGGAAGAACACCAGUGGCUAAGGCGACACACUGGCUCAUUACUGACGCUGAGGCGCGAAAGCGUGGGGAGCAAACAGGAUUAGAUACCCUUGUAGUCC
rnacentral:rRNA from 1 species